UACGUAGGGGGCAAGCGUUGUCCGGAUUUACUGGGCGUAAAGCGCACGUAGGCGGCUUUGUAAGUUAGAGGUGAAAGCCCAGGGCUCAACCCUGGAAUUGCCUUUAAGACUGCAUCGCUUGAACAUCGGAGAGGUAAGUGGAAUUCCGAGUGUAGAGGUGAAAUUCGUAGAUAUUCGGAAGAACACCAGUGGCGAAGGCGACUUACUGGACGAUUGUUGACGCUGAGGUGCGAAAGCGUGGGGAGCAAAAAGG
rnacentral:rRNA from 1 species